GGGGGGGGGCAGCGCGAGCCCUCAGGGGUCGGCUUGGCUGGAGGGAGGUGGCCCUGACCCUGCUGCUCUCCCCGCAGAGAAACGCCCCCGAGGAGAAGGCAUCCGUGGGGCCCUGGCUCUUGGCGCUAUUCAUCUUUGUGGUGUGUGGCUCAGCUAUCUUCCAAAUUAUUCAGAGUAUCAGGAUGGGCAUGUGAAGGAGCUGACCUUAAACAAGUUGUUUUCAUCUUCCUGUGAAUUACAAUGAACUGUCAUUCCUAAUGUUUGAUACCCUGGUCUAAAAACUUAAUUCAUGAUACUGUCCUGCUCCACAACGACUUUCCGAGUUGGCCAUAUGUCAUUCCACGUUCUUUCACAAGUCAUUCCAACUUUUCUAUAUAAUACCAUAGUGCCUUGAAAAGCACCACAUGUAUAAAGCAAUAAAAUUCUAUUGAUCUACAA